rnacentral:rRNA from 1 species
GAUGAACGCUAGCGGGAGGCUUAACACAUGCAAGUCGAGGGGCAGCAUAGGGUAGCAAUACUCUGAUGGCGACCGGCAAACGGGUGAGUAACGCGUAUGCAACCUACCCUGUACAGGGGGAUAACCCGGAGAAAUUCGGACUAAUAUCCCGUAAUAAUAUCCGGAGGCAUCUUUGGAUAUUUAAAGUUCCGACGGUACGGGAUGGGCAUCGCGUAACAUUAACUGGUUGGUAAGGUAACGGCUUACCAAGGCUAUGAUGUUUAGGGGUCCUGAGAGGGUGGUCCCCCACACUGGUACUGAGACACGGACCAGACUCCUACGGGAGGCAGCAGUGAGGAAUAUUGGUCAAUGGGCGCAAGCCUGAACCAGCCAUCCCGCGUGCAGGAAGACGGCCCUAUGGGUUGUAAACUGCUUUUCCAGGGAGAGAAACUUACGCACGUGUUGCGUGACUGACGGUACCCUGGGAAUAAGCAUCGGCUAACUCCGUG